CACGUAAUCAAGCUACCCGCGAGACGGGGAUAACCUCGGGAAACCGAGGCUAAUACCCGAUGGCCUAUCGGAACCGCAUGGUUCUGAUAGUAAAUGGACGGGAUCCUUCGGGACCGUCUGCUUGCGGAGGUGAUUGCGGCCCAUCAGUUUGUUGGUAGGGUAACGGCCUACCAAGACUACGACGGGUAGCCGGCCUUAGAGGGUGGUCGGUCGCACUGGGACUGAGACACUGCCCAGACUCCUACGGGAGGCUGCAGUCGAGAAUCUUCCGCAAUGGACGCAAGUCUGACGGAGCGACGC
rnacentral:rRNA from 1 species